rnacentral:tRNA from 1 species
GCGGUGGUAGUUCAGUGGUAAAACAGAUGCUUCCCAAGCAUCAGUCCCGGGUUCGAUUCCCGGUCGUCGCA